AUUGAACGCUGGCGGCAGGCCUAACACAUGCAAGUCGAGCGAGCGGCGGACGGGUGAGUAAUGUAUGGGAAUCUGCCCGAUGGAGGGGGAUAACUACUGGAAACGGUAGCUAAUACCGCAUACUAUCGGAUGAACCCAGAUGGGAUUAGCUGGUAGGUGGGGUAAAGGCUCACCUAGGCGACGAUCUCUAGCUGGUCUGAGAGGAUGAUCAGCCACACUGGAACUGAGACACGGCCCAGACUCCUACGGGAGGCAGCAGUGGGGAAUAUUGGACAAUGGGCGAAAGCCUGAUGCAGCCAUGCCGCGUGUAUGAAGAAGGCCUUAGGGUUGUAAAGUACUUUCAGCGGGGAGGCGUUACCCGCAGAAGAAGCACCGGCUAACUCCGUGCCAGCAGCCGCGGUAAUUC
rnacentral:rRNA from 1 species